rnacentral:tRNA from 1 species
CGCGGGGUGGAGUAGAGGUAGCUCAUCGGGCUCAUAAUUCGAAGGUCACAGGUUCGAAUCCUGUCCCCGCUA